CUUGCUCUGGUGGCGAGUGGCGAACGGGUGAGUAAUAUAUCGGAACGUACCCUGGAGUGGGGGAUAACGUAGCGAAAGUUACGCUAAUACCGCAUACGAUCUACGGAUGAAAGUGGGGGAUCGCAAGACCUCAUGCUCGUGGAGCGGCCGAUAUCUGAUUAGCUAGUUGGUAGGGUAAAAGCCUACCAAGGCAUCGAUCAGUAGCUGGUCUGAGAGGACGACCAGCCACACUGGAACUGAGACACGGUCCAGACUCCUACGGGAGGCAGCAGUGGGGAAUUUUGGACAAUGGGCGAAAGCCUGAUCCAGCAAUGCCGCGUGAGUGAAGAAGGCCUUCGGGUUGUAAAGCUCUUUUGUCAGGGAAGAAACGGUGAGGGCUAAUAUCCCUUGCUAAUGACGGUACCUGAAGAAUAAGCACCGGCUAACUACGUGCCAGCAGCCGCGGUAAUACGUAGGGUGCAAGCGUUAAUCGGAAUUACUGGGCGUAAAGCGUGCGCAGGCGGUUUUGUAAGUCUGAUGUGAAAUCCCCGGGCUCAACCUGGGAAUUGCAUUGGAGACUGCAAGGCUAGAAUCUGGCAGAGGGGGGUAGAAUUCCACGUGUAGCAGUGAAAUGCGUAGAUAUGUGGAGGAACACCGAUGGCGAAGGCAGCCCCCUGGGUCAAGAUUGACGCUCAUGCACGAAAGCGUGGGGAGCAAACAGGAUUAGAUACCCUGGUAGUCCACGCCCUAAACGAUGUCUACUAGUUGUCGGGUCUUAAUUGACUUGGUAACGCAGCUAACGCGUGAAGUAGACCGCCUGGGGAGUACGGUCGCAAGAUUAAAACUCAAAGGAAUUGACGGGGACCCGCACAAGCGGUGGAUGAUGUGGAUUAAUUCGAUGCAACGCGAAAAACCUUACCUACCCUUGACAUGGCUGGAAUCCCCGAGAGAUUGGGGAGUGCUCGAAAGAGAACCAGUACACAGGUGCUGCAUGGCUGUCGUCAGCUCGUGUCGUGAGAUGUUGGGUUAAGUCCCGCAACGAGCGCAACCCUUGUCAUUAGUUGCUACGAAAGGGCACUCUAAUGAGACUGCCGGUGACAAACCGGAGGAAGGUGGGGAUGACGUCAAGUCCUCAUGGCCCUUAUGGGUAGGGCUUCACACGUCAUACAAUGGUACAUACAGAGCGCCGCCAACCCGCGAGGGGGAGCUAAUCGCAGAAAGUGUAUCGUAGUCCGGAUUGUAGUCUGCAACUCGACUGCAUGAAGUUGGAAUCGCUAGUAAUCGCGGAUCAGCAUGUCGCGGUGAAUACGUUCCCGGGUCUUGUACACACCGCCCGUCACACCAUGGGAGCGGGUUUUACCAGAAGUAGGUA
rnacentral:rRNA from 1 species